GCAGCGGUAGCCUAGUGGUAUGGUCUCGUCUUGGGAACUGAAGGGUUUCAUGUUCGAAACCUGUUGCA